GAAAAAGGCACCAGCCUCCCUCCCACUACUGCCCAGGUGUCAGGUGGCUGCAGGAGGCAACCACAGACUGUCCUGUCCACGCUGGAGGAUCCAACCCUGGGCCAGGUACCAGCCUAGUGGGUCUGGAAUCCUGGUGGUCGCCACCCCUCCUCCUCCUAGACUCUGCCUCUCCUCUGGAAUUCUUCCCCACAAUUGUGGAUGCUUCCAUAGGAUCUGAGAGCCCGGCCACCAACAGAACUGCGGCCUUUCGCAACCAGGAAGCUCCCUAACAAGAUGGGAAGCUACUGCUUUUGUCCCAAACUCCAGAACCAUGACACCCCUGCUAUAUCUCAGAAGCCACCGUGGUCAGGAAGUUACUGCAACUGCUACAACCAGAACCACCCCUGUGCCCACUAGAAUCCACACAAAUUAAAUGGCUUCCCCAACACUGCCUUUCAACACACACACAAAGCUACUGAUUAGACACAGGGAAACUAUCUCCGACUAGGCUUGCCCGCAAAAACAAUAGAAAAUGUAGGCUGUGUCUCACUGCCACCUUCUGAAUCCCACAUGAGUGUAUCUGAAUGGCCGAACUACGCUCACAUCCAGAACCCUCAGUGCAAGGGCAUUUGGGAAGCACAGUUUUAAUUGUCCAGCCUCUGCAGUACACAAAACAUUCUAGAAGGCAGUUGCAUUGGCCGGGCACCCUGGCUACGCCUGUAAUCCCAGCACUUUGGGAGGCCAACGCGGGCGGAUCAGCUGAGGUUGGGAGUUCGAGACCAGCCUGACCAAGAUGGAGAAACCCCCGUCUCUACUAAAAAUACAAAAUUAGCCAGGCGUGGUGGCACAUGCCUGUAAUCCCAGCUACUCAGGAAGACUGAGGCAGGAGAAUCGCUUGAACCCAGGAGGCGGAGGUUGGGGUGAGCCAAGAUCGCGCUGUUGCCCACCAGUCUGAGCAACAAGAGCAAAACUCUGUCUCAAAAAAAAAGCAGUUGCAUUAAAUGUUGAGCAUCGAUACACUGUAUUUGUCACUCUUUAACAAUUACAGAAAUGAAAACAUGGGUUUUAUUUUGAAAAAGCAUAUUUACAAACUGUACACAAG
rnacentral:lncRNA from 10 species